rnacentral:rRNA from 1 species
CCCCCGAAUUAUAGUGGCGGUCUCGCCGUAGCCUCCUCUGCGUAGUAGCACACCUCGCACUGGAACGCGGCGCGGCCACGCCGUAAAACCCCCACUUCUGAAGGUUGACCUCGGAUCAGGUAGGAAUACCCGCUGAACUUAAGCAUAUCAAUAAGCGGAGGAAAAGAAACCAACAGGGAUUGCCCUAGUAACGGCGAGUGAAGCGGCAACAGCUCAAAUUUGAAAUCUGGCCCUCGUGGUCCGAGUUGUAAUUUGUAGAGGAUGCUUUUGGUGCGGUGCCUUCCGAGUUCCCUGGAACGGGACGCCAUAGAGGGUGAGAGCCCCGUCUGGUUGGACACCUAUCCUCUGUAAAGCUCCUUCGACGAGUCGAGUAGUUUGGGAAUGCUGCUCUAAAUGGGAGGUAAAUGUCUUCUAAAGCUAAAUACCGGCCAGAGACCGAUAGCGCACAAGUAGAGUGAUCGAAAGAUGAAAAGCACUUUGAAAAGAGGGUUAAAUAGUACGUGAAAUUGUUGAAAGGGAAGCGUUUGUGACCAGACUUGGGCUUGGUUAAUCAUCCAGCGUUCUCGCUGGUGCACUUUGCCAGCCCAGGCCAGCAUCAGUUCGCCGCGGGGGAUAAAAUCUUCGGGAAUGUGGCUCUUCGGAGUGUUAUAGCCCGCUGCACAAUACCCUGUGGCGGACUGAGGUUCGCGCAUCUGCAAGGAUGCUGGCGUAAUGGUCAUCAACGACCCGUCUUGAAACACGGACCAAGGAGUCGUCUUCGUAUGCGAGUGUUCGGGUGUCAAACCCCUACGCGUAAUGAAAGUGAACGGAGGUGGGAGCCUCGGCGCACCAUCGACCGAUCCUGAAGUUUACGGAUGGAUUUGAGUAAGAGCAUACGGGGCCGGACCCGAAAGAAGGUGAACUAUGCCUGUAUAGGGUGAAGCCAGAGGAAACUCUGGUGGAGGCUCGCAGCGGUUCUGACGUGCAAAUCGAUCGUCAAAUAUGGGCAUGGGGGCGAAAGACUAAUCGAACCUUCUAGUAGCUGGU